AUUAGGCGUUGUAACAUAAUACUGCCUUAAUACAUUACUGCUUAGUAACAGCAUAGUAACUAAUAUAACAGAUGUAGAUAACCAAUACUACACUCCUCCCCCAUAGCUUUUAACUUCCAGAGAACAAGGGAAAUACAUUAGGGAAAUACUAAUGCAAUAUCUGAACAAUGCAUUCAUAAGCAUUUCUCAACUACUGGGUUGAAGCAGAUUUUCCAGAGCCCAGCACAAAUCCAGGGGAUUAUUCUACCCGGAAGAUGGAUUGUGUACUAAUAACUAGCCCAGCUCAAUUCACAGGUCAAGCUUUUGAGGUGCCCUUCACUGUCGAACAGGAUAUCUCCGCUCCUCCUGGGCUUCCGGUGGUGGGCCAGGUUCGGGUGGAAGGUCAGGCUCUGUCUCCCCCGUAUGUCCACAGUCAGGAGAAUAGUCCUGGGGGGUCAUUGUUGUUCUUGUUCUCUCGGCAUGUCUCUGCUAGGGCGAUGGACCAUAGCAGAUGAUCCACAUGAACGUUGACAUGGCGAUGAUCAACUUGGACUUGGCGAUGCCGCCCCACCCUUCCCUGACUCCUAACCCCUCGUGAGCUGAGAGGAGGAACACCCCAGACCUCCUGACAACUCCGAUGGUGGAGGUCGGGUCACUUGGAGGUCAUCAUGGGGACCUUUGCAGAGACGUCGGGGGUGCAGCCCAUGCUUCGGGAGUCGUCAUGCAUCACCACACAUCUGUCCCCUGGGCUGCGGCGUAAACAGCUGAUGUGGAAAAAUGCCGUCAAACACAUCAUUAGCUAACAGGAGAUAAAUGAGCAUGUGAACUUACAUGACACGUACAAAUCAUCUCUCCUCCUACACUAUGAGUAUAGUUGGCCAUGUCUUAACUAUACACUCUUAGAAUAAAAGGUGCUAUCUAGGACCUAAAAUGGUUCUUCAGCUGUUGCCAUAGGAUAACCCUUUUGGUUCCAGGUAGAACCAAUGGAACCCAAAACGGUUCUACCUGGAACCAAAAAGGGGGACAGCCGAAGAACCCUUUCGGAACACUUUUUUCUAAGAGUUCACAUUCCUUGUUUCCUUCCUUUGUCUCAUUUCCCUCUUGACCACUAAUAGGUACAAUGAAAGUAGUGUGUCUAGUAGUCAUCAUUAUUUUAACCAAAGGGGCAGGUGGGACUUGAUGCCUUUACAUCAUGGUACUCUCACAUUUUCAGAAACUCAUCUCAGAUUAGAAGUCAUGAAAAUGGGAUCAGAACAACAAUUGAUUGAUAUUGUAAGUGUACAAUAAGUGUUGAUAGGUAGGGGUGGAGCCAGUCCGUAAGAUCUUCGCCACCGACAUCUACAUUGAUGAGAUCAACCACCAGAUCCGCAGGAAGGCCUCACGUGUGGUUGUUGGUAAUAGCUGUAUCGCCUUAGAAUGUGCCCCUUUCAGUUAAUGUUAUCAUUUUAAUCUGUUACAUUGAUUUAGUAAAAAUAUGAACCUGUUUAACAAACAGCAUAAACACUGUUCCCCGCAAUGGGAAUAGAUUAUCGUUUAAGAAUACAUUAAUUUCUUGCUGAAAUUCAAUGGUGUUACCCAAACUUUAAAACCCAUCAACAGUAAUCAGAAACUAUCAAAGAAUGUUUCCGAUUCAACUAUUCAGACCUCUGCAUCCCUUACAGAUCGAUGUAGUCCAGUGAAUACGACUAACUUUCACCAGCAGACUAAACAUGGCAUUAGUUGUCUAUCCAAAAACCACCAAUAACUAACAACAUAUUUCUAUUCAAAUUAUUAGGUGUAACCGAUGCGAAAUGGCUAGCUAGUUAGCGGUGGUGCGCACUAAUAGCGUUUCAAUCGGUGACGUCACUUGCUCUGAGACCUUGAAGUAGUGGUUCCCCUUGCUCUGCAAGGGCCGUGGCUUUUGUGGAGCGAUGGGUAACGAUGUGGGUAAUGAUGCUUCGAGAGUGACUGUUGUCUGUGUGCAGAGGGUCCCUGGUUCGAGCCCAGGUUGGGGCGAGGAGAGGGACGGAAGCUAUACUGUUACAAAGGCAUUUGUUUUCAUUUCAGUCUACCCAAACAAUAUUAGUCUAUAUUUUUAAUACCAACCUCUGCUUCACACUUAUUAAUUAAAUGUCCAUAACUUUAAAAUGAACAUGUAUUGCGCCAAAUAAAAUACAUCCAUCAAUUCAUAAAGAAAAAAUACAUUUCGAUGGGAGCUAAUAGUUCACAAUGAGCCUCUUUCUGUCCACAACAUUAAUCCAUUGCUGUUGUAGUCUUGUAUUAUCAUGCAAUAAUUAAUACCCAUACUUAGUUAUCAACUAUGAUCAUGGUCACAGAUCUAUCGCAAUUGUCUAUCCGCCAUCAUUAGAAUUAAUUAGAUGUAGUAACUGUCCCUUCUGAUUAGGCUACAGGUAAUAAAACGAACACAUGCAAUUUUUAACAAGCAAAUAUUCAGUUCAUAACCAUAUCAUUAAUAUUUGAUUCAGGGAUUUCAAUUACAACAUAAUUCCUAGUAGACUAUUCUAUCAGGCGAUUAAAGAGUCGUUCAAAAUCAAGCUAAGCAAUCUGCAAAAUUGUCCAGUUUAUAUCUUAAGUGUGUUCAGGUGUGUUGUCCACGCCCACUAAUUGGUCACAACUGAUCUUAAUGAGUGCUUGUUUCCUUUGAAAUGGAUUUGAAAAUGAACAGCUUUGUAUGCGUAAAAAAACAUGGCAUGCUAGUUCCAUCCUGGUGGUGCAGUGGAUUAAUUCCAUGAAUAGAGAACAAACGAUUAUAGAUUCAAAUCUCACUAAUGCUGUGUCAUAAUAAAAAAUGUAUGUGUUUGCAUGAUUAAUGACUAAGCAAUUGAUUUUCCAUGUGUCCUAUCUGUGCUUGUAGUUCAAGAAAGUGAAC
ensembl:lncRNA